UUUACUGUCGGAUAAUCAGAUUUAAGUUUCCUUUAAUUUUUUUUAUGAAAUGGGCUAUUUAAGUGAAAAGCACAAAAUUGAAAUCUUAAUGAUGAUUGGGUACGGAGAACAAGAACCCAAAAUAAAGUUUUGCAUUUAUUCACACAGAAGUAUCCUGAUUUACCACCCAUAUCUCAAAGUACUAUAACAAGAUUGAAAAACAGUUUUGGGAAAAUGGUCACAUAAGAACAAUAACUAGUUCUCGACGAUCUGCGCUUAAUGAAGACACCAAAAUGAAUGUGUUAUUAGGCAUUGAAGAAAAUCCCCACUAGGCAGGUAGCGCGCGAAUUGGAAGUGAGCCAGUCUUCAGUAGUAAAGGUUCUUGAAGCAGAAAAAUGUCAUCCCUAUAAACUAACAAUUGUCCAGGAACUCAAUGAGGAGGAUGCAGAUAGAAAAAUUGAAUUUUGUGAACAAUUUAUGGAAUUAAUGCAGAAUAAUAAUCUUAUUACAGAAAACAUUCUUUUCUGAUGAGUCGACAUUUAUGAUGAACCGAGAAGUAAAUCGUCAAAAUUGCCGUUAUUGGGCACAAGAAAAUCCAUGGUUGGAUGAGGCAAGGCCACACUGAACACCCAAAAAAAGUAAGUGUUUGGGCAGGAAUUCUAGGUCAGCAAGUUAUAGGCCCAAAUUUCUUCGAAGAAAAUUUAAAUGGAACAAGGUACUUGUACAGUUUUUACAAGAAAAACUAAUUCCAAAUCUAGCUGUUCUAUUCCCUGAUCCAAUAGAAGCUGAUAUUUCGAAUAGAAACAUCUGGUUUCAGCAAGAUGGCAGUUGGAUUGGCAGGAGAGGACCUUUUGAAUGGCCACCAAGAUUGCCCGAUUUGACUCCGCUGGAUUUUUUCCUAUGGGGAUAUUUAAAAUCCAAAGUUUAUGUGACCAAGCCGGCAAAAAUUAAGGAGUUGAAAACUAGAAUAAGGCAAGAGUGUCGAAACAUUUCUCCAGAAUGUAUAAGAAACGUUCAAAAUGAAUUUGUAGUACGUUUAGGACAUUGCCAAAUAGUAAAUGGUAUACAUUUUGAACACUCAUGUUAUAAAGAAAAAGAUUUAAAAGAAUCCUCUUUAAGUUUAUGAAAUACGUUUUCUUUAACGCCCUGUAUCUUAAAAACAAUCAAAUAAAGGUAUGGCAUGUGAUACAUCAAAA